GACGAACGCUGGCGGCGUGCUUAACACAUGCAAGUCGAACGGAAAGGCCCUGCUUUUGUGGGGUGCUCGAGUGGCGAACGGGUGAGUAACACGUGAGUAACCUGCCCUUGACUUUGGGAUAACUUCAGGAAACUGGGGCUAAUACCGGAUAGGAGCUCCUGCUGCAUGGUGGGGGUUGGAAAGUUUCGGCGGUUGGGGAUGGACUCGCGUCUUAUCAGCUUGUUGGUGGGGUAGUGGCUUACCAAGGCUUUGACGGGUAGCCGGCCUGAGAGGGUGACCGGCCAAAUUGGGACUGAGAUACGGCACAGACUCCUACGGGAGGCAGCAGUGGGGAAUAUUGCACAAUGGGCGGAAGCCUGAUGCAGCAACGCCGCGUGCGGGAUGACGGCCUUCGGGUUGUAAACCGCUUUCGCCUGUGACGAAGCGUGAGUGACGGUAAUGGGUAAAGAAGCACCGGCUAACUACGUG
rnacentral:rRNA from 1 species